rnacentral:rRNA from 1 species
UACGUAGGUGGCAAGCGUUGUCCGGAAUUAUUGGGCGUAAAGCGCGCGCAGGCGGUCCUUUAACUCUGAUGUGAAAGCCCACGGCUCAACCGUGGAGGGUCAUUGGAAACUGGGGGACUUGAGUGCAGGAGAGAAGAGUGGAAUUCCACGUGUAGCGGUGAAAUGCGUAGAGAUGUGGAGGAACACCAGUGGCGAAGGCGACUCUUUGGCCUGUAACUGACGCUGAGGCGCGAAAGCGUGGGGAGCAAACAGG